CACUGGGUGUGGUUUGGUCCUUUAUAAUAGCGCACUCAACAUGAAUCUGCAUUAUGCACCUUAUCUUUGGAGUGAAGGUAUACAGCUCUACAUCAACUACAGCCUGAAACCAUGACGACAAUCAUGGUUGAAUACUGUAAAACAUGAAGUUAUGCAUACCGCUACCAGGAACUAGCCGCUCUGCUCAGACAGGUUCCUGGUGUGGAUGUGAAGGGAGUCAAAGGGAGACCAAACAGCUUUGAGGUGACAAUGAAUGGUCAGCUGAUCUACUCCAAGCUUGAGACAGGAACAUUUCCUAUUCCUGAAAAGGUGAUGGAGAUGGUGAAGGAGGAAGUCCCUGAGGAAAAAAUGGCGAAACCUUCAAAGUCGUGGAAACAGAAAUGCACUCAACAUUAGGAGGACAAGGACAAGAUGGUGAUGAUAGUAAAUCUGAGGAGCCGGCCACUGAUCUGCGCUUCUGUUCAUGAAUGUACACAUUAAAAAUCAUGAGGUGUGUGCACGAUGCAAGUCUAGAAGCUUUUCAGCCGACUGGAGCCUGAGGAACUGAUCUCAUCACGUCAUCACCACUGUACAUUUCAGCUUUUCUCGGUUUACAUAAAAAAAUGAUUGGGCAUACAUUUCUAAGAAUUCUUUUUUUUAUUUAUUUUUUUACUUUUUUGUCAAGAGCGACCCACAUGAGAAGAUAGACACCACUCUUCUUGUCUUCAGCCAUAAAGACUGGAUACAGGGAGGAACAGCUAGCCUGGCUCGGUUCUGUCAGUAAGUCAAUAUUCUAUUUCAAAGGAGGUUAUGUGCCAGACUGUUUCUUGGCUGGGACCAGUAACUUCCUGGAGUUUCUGCUACUGGUCUAGGCCAAGAAGUAGCCCGGCACACAACUUUCCUGUAAGAUGCCAAAUUGUCAUUUUUACGCUUUGGUUUUUGUAUCAAACAAACAUAUAACAUAGGCAGGUUUGUUACUUUUGGACAGAAUCAGGCUGUUUCCUCCCUGUAUGCUGUCUUUAUGCUAAGCUGACUGGCCAUUUAACGGUGGGAUCUUCUCAUCUAACUCUCAGAAAGAAAGAGAAUAAGUGAAUCUUACAUCAGCUUUAAGAUGUGCAAUCCCUGUAUGUGUGAUAUAUGACUAACAACCCUGUUCAGCUCUGGAUGUCUGUAUACUCUGAUAUAUAUAUAAAUAUUUAUACAACAUAUCAGGUCUAUUUUAAAUUCACACCUGACAUAUUGUCUCCAAAUAUAUACCUGAACCUAUUACCUAGUGUUCUGUAUGACAUUAUUGUGUCUCUGUCAUUAUUCAGUCGUUAAAAAAAAAAACACUUUCGUAAAGAUAACAUUUUGCUGUAUUGUUAUACUGUUGAAACAUAAGCUGUAAUCAAUUCCAACAAUAAACCUACAAUAAAAUAUCACUACAUAAUCAA